rnacentral:rRNA from 1 species
GACGAACCGUGCGAACGUUGUUCGGAAUCACUGGGCUUAAAGGGCGCGUAGGCGGGCCGGAUAGUCUGUGGUGAAAGCCCCCAGCUUAACUGGGGAAGUGCCGUGGAUACUACCGGCCUGGAGGAGGGUAGGGGCAUCUGGAACGCUGGGUGGAGCGGUGAAAUGCGUUGAUAUCCAGCGGAACUCCGGUGGCGAAGGCGAGGUGCUGGACCCUUUCUGACGCUGAGGCGCGAAAGCCAGGGUAGCGAACGGG